GACUCCAUAGCUAAGUGGUUAUAGCAUGAGAUUGCAGCUGUGUAGCACUAUCUCGGGGUCGCGUGUUCGAGUCACGCUGGGGUCU